UGCAACAUCAACCUGUGGCAAUUUCAGUCCUCGCCGAAAUCCUCCCUACGCUUUAAACCCCCUGUCCAUGCGAGUGAAGUGAAGGGGCUCUUUUCGGCCAUUUUUCCAAUGGGGUUUCCGUUUCUAAUUGCAAAGCUCGUCAUUUUCGGCCUCUGAUGUCCUGUUUCUUAUCAGGGGAGAAAAUUUUUAGAGCACAUUAAUUACUGAUCCAUGGAUCAGAGAUACAGCUACUUAUUUUGAUUUUGUAACUCUGCAAAUCUUAGACGCUUUAUUUUUGUCAUUGAGCCAAGGAUAUUAUGUACAGAAGUCUCCUAGCUGCAUGCUGGAUUGAAAUUUUUUGAUAUCUCUGCCUGUGAAUUAAUAUGUUCAUUUUUUGGGUGUGGAAAAAAAGGAAAUGAGUUGCUGUUGUGCAUCAUGGUGCUGCAUUUUCUGUAAAUAGGGAAGAAGAAGCUUAGUUGUGAAGAAUCACGCAUUUGCAACCUUGCUAACAAUACUGGUUUGCUGCUUGGAAAAAUUUUUUUGAGAGAAAAAAUUUGGCAAUUCAAAUAAGCAUCAUAAUAUUGGUACAUUUUAACUUUCUCUUAAAAGAAGAAAAUAAAAAUAUAGACAAUUGAAAAUUUAUAUUCAU